GACGAACGCUGGCGGCGUGCUUAACACAUGCAAGUCGAACGGUGAAGGGACUGGUUUUGCUGGUCCUGGAUGAGUGGCGAACGGGUGAGUAACACGUGAGUAACCUGCCCCCUUCUUCUGGAUAACCGCAUGAAAGUGUGGCUAAUGCGGGAUAUUCUGGGUCUGUCGCAUGGUGGGCCUGGGAAAGAUUGCGCCUUUUUUGGUGUUUUUGGUGGGGGAUGGGCUCGCGGCCUAUCAGCUUGUUGGUGGGGUGAUGGCCUACCAAGGCGGUGACGGGUAGCCGGCCUGAGAGGGUGGACGGUCACACUGGGACUGAGACACGGCCCAGACUCCUACGGGAGGCAGCAGUGGGGAAUAUUGCACAAUGGGCGCAAGCCUGAUGCAGCGACGCCGCGUGAGGGAUGGAGGCCUUCGGGUUGUGAACCUCUUUCGCCAGUGAAGCAGGCCUGCCUCUUUUUGUGGGUGGGUUGACGGUAGCUGGAGAAGAAGCGCCGGCUAACUACGUG
rnacentral:rRNA from 1 species